rnacentral:rRNA from 1 species
UGGAGGUUGUGCCCUUGAGGCGUGGCUUCCGGAGCUAACGCGUUAAGUCGACCGCCUGGGGAGUACGGCCGCAAGGUUAAAACUCAAAUGAAUUGACGGGGGCCCGCACAAGCGGUGGAGCAUGUGGUUUAAUUCGAUGCAACGCGAAGAACCUUACCUGGUCUUGACAUCCACGGAAGUUUUCAGAGAUGAGAAUGUGCCUUCGGGAACCGUGAGACAGGUGCUGCAUGGCUGUCGUCAGCUCGUGUUGUGAAAUGUUGGGUUAAGUCCCGCAACGAGCGCAACCCUUAUCCUUUGUUGCCAGCGGUCCGGCCGGGAACUCAAAGGAGACUGCCAGUGAUAAACUGGAGGAAGGUGGGGAUGACGUCAAGUCAUCAUGGCCCUUACGACCAGGGCUACACACGUGCUACAAUGGCGCAUACAAAGAGAAGCGACCUCGCGAGAGCAAGCGGACCUCAUAAAGUGCGUCGUAGUCCGGAUUGGAGUCUGCAACUCGACUCCAUGAAGUCGGAAUCGCUAGUAAUCGUGGAUCAGAAUGCCACGGUGAAUACGUUCCCGGGCCUUGUACACAC